rnacentral:rRNA from 1 species
AGCGAACGCUGGCGGCAGGCCUAACACAUGCAAGUCGAACGAACCCUUCGGGGUUAGUGGCGGACGGGUGAGUAACACGUGGGAACGUGCCUUUAGGUUCGGAAUAACUCAGGGAAACUUGUGCUAAUACCGAAUGUGCCCUUCGGGGGAAAGAUUUAUCGCCUUUCGAGCGGCCCGCGUCUGAUUAGCUAGUUGGUGAGGUAAAGGCUCACCAAGGCUACGAUCAGUAGCUGGUCUGAGAGGAUGACCAGCCACAUUGGGACUGAGACACGGCCCAAACUCCUACGGGAGGCAGCAGUGGGGAAUCUUGCGCAAUGGGCGAAAGCCUGACGCAGCCAUGCCGCGUGGAUGAUGAAGGUCUUAGGAUUGUAAAAUCCUUUCACCGGUGAAGAUAAUGACUGUAGCCGGAGAAGAAGCCCCGGCUAACUUCGUGCCAGCAGCCGCAGUAACAC